rnacentral:rRNA from 1 species
UGGGGAAUAUUGCACAAUGGGCGCAAGCCUGAUGCAGCGACGCCGCGUGAAGGAUGAAGGUCUUCGGAUUGUAAACUUCUAUCAGCAGGGAAGAAUACCAUGACGGUACCUGACUAAGAAGCCCCGGCUAACUACGUGCCAGCAGCCGCGGUAAUACGUAGGGGGCAAGCGUUAUCCGGAAUUACUGGGUGUAAAGGGUGCGUAGGCGGCAUGGCAAGUCAGAUGUGAAAACCUGGGGCUCAACCUUAGGAUUGCAUCUGAAACUGCUAAGCUAGAGUGCAGGAGAGGAAAGUGGAAUUCCGAGUGUAGCGGUGAAAUGCGUAGAGAUUCGGAGGAACACCAGUAGCGAAGGCGACUUUCUGGACUGUAACUGACGCUGAGGCACGAAAGCGUGGGGAGC